UGUGGGGAUCCAUACAUUUGGCAUUACCAAAUAAUCUUAUCUGGUAAAGCGAAUGAUUAGAGGCCUUAGGGUCGAAACGAUCUUAACCUAUUCUCAAACUUUAAAUGGGUAAGAACCUUAACUUUCUUGAUAUGAAGUUUAAGGUUAUGAUAUAAUGUGCCCAGUGGGCCACUUUUGGUAAGCAGAACUGGCGCUGUGGGAUGAACCA
rnacentral:ncRNA from 1 species